UACGUAGGUGGCAAGCGUUGUCCGGAAUUAUUGGGCGUAAAGCGCGCGCAGGCGGUUAUGUAAGUCUGAUGUUAAAGCCCGGGGCUCAACCUCGGUUCGCAUUGGAAACUGCGUAACUUGAGUGCAGAAGAGGAAAGUGGUAUUCCACGUGUAGCGGUGAAAUGCGUAGAGAUGUGGAGGAACACUAGUGGCGAAGGCGACUUUCUGGUCUGUAACUGACGCUGGGGCGCGAAAGCGUGGGGAGCGAACAGG
rnacentral:rRNA from 1 species